rnacentral:rRNA from 1 species
AACGAACGCUGGCGGCAUGCCUAGCACAUGCAAGUCGAACGAGACCUUCGGGUCUAGUGGCGCACGGGUGCGUAACGCGUGGGAACCUGCCCUUAGGUUCGGAAUAACUCCCCGAAAGGGGUGCUAAUACCGGAUAAUGUCUUCGGACCAAAGAUUUAUCGCCUUUGGAUGGGCCCGCGUUGGAUUAGCUAGUUGGUAGGGUAAAAGCCUACCAAGGCGACGAUCCAUAGCUGGUCUGAGAGGAUGAUCAGCCACACUGGGACUGAGACACGGCCCAGACUCCUACGGGAGGCAGCAGUGGGGAAUAUUGGACAAUGGGCGAAAGCCUGAUCCAGCAAUGCCGCGUGAGUGAUGAAGACCUUAGGGUUGUAAAGCUCUUUUACCCGGGAUGAUAAUGACAGUACCGGGAGAAUAAGCUCCGGCUAACUCCGUG